rnacentral:lncRNA from 1 species
AUGCAUGAGGGUCACAUGUUUAGGAGUCAGCCAGGCCUCCUGCUUGGGGACUCGAGCCCAGCCAAGUCCUGCGUGGGCCACCCACACAAUGGAGAGCCCGUGCUCAUGGGGGCUGGUUCCCUUCGCACAUCAGCUACGGCCCGAGUUGCUAGAAACAUCUGCAUGGCCACAGCAAAAGCCUGUAAUCCGAUUCUUCGAUCCAGAGUUGCAGGUCUCACUCUGGGCACCUCGGGGAAGCCCGGCUCAAGUGUCCUCCUCUGUGAAAAGCUCCUUGCCAACCCGCCCCCCUGCGCCAGUGAGUCACUCCUCGUUCUGGAUCACAGAACACUUUGUUCGGAUCUCUCCUGGCGCACUUCUCACGCCAUAUUAAAGCCCCAACUAGAACCGUGUCUCAGGGAGGCUGACCCCACUUCCAGGCCCAGAAGUGGACCUGAUUGGUCCCGGAGACCUGCCACCCGCUGUCCAGGAAUUGGGUUCAGGAAUGGAACCGUGACCCAAUUCACACCAAAGAACUGUGAGGGAAAAUCUGCUGGAGGCAAUCUAGAAGAAGUUUCUUCUUUUCCUAAGAGGAAGUCUUGCGGUGGGUCUGUGAGCAGAGGGAGUCUUUCUCACACUUUACUCCAUGAUUCUGCAGAAUGUGGUGCCGUGGACCUGCUAUUGCCAUAUUGCUACCAGCCUAAAGAAAGAAGCCAGUACUGGGAAGUUGCAGCGGAAAGAUGGAUUGAAGGGAUUUGAGGCAUGGGUGUGUGUGCACACACGUGGGUACACCUGAGAUUAAAACUAGGGUCUUUAACCGGGGAUUUAGCUCAGUGGUUCCACCGCCUGUCUCUGAGUUCAAUCCCAGGUACAAAAGAAAUAAAUAAAGGAGUCAUCUUGUAAGGGCUGGGGAUUUCACUCAGUGGUUUCAGCGCCUGCCUUGCAAGUGCAAGGACCAGAGUUUGAUCCCUGGUACAAAAACAAAACAAGCAAACAAAAAAACUAGGGUCUUUGUGCUUUCUUUUCUUCUUCCCUUUUUUUUUGCGGGGGGGUCUGGGGAUCGAACUCAGGUCCUUGCACUUGCAAAGCAGGUGGCAACACCACUGAGCUAAAUCCCCAGACCAUGUACUUUCUUAACUUUUUAUUUUGAGACAGGUUCUCACUAAGUUACUCAGUUACCCAGCCUGGUCUCAAACCUUCAAUCUUUUUGCAUCAGCCUGCCAAAGUUCUGGAAUUAUAGGUUUAUGCUGCCACACCUGGCUAGGACUUGAGUUUUAUGACAUCACUGAGCUCUGUCUAUAAAUUUUUGUAAUGGAAAAUAAUUUUCUUAACCACUUAAAUCAUGUAUAGUCCUUGCAACCCAAAGCAUUAACUGAUAUUUAAGCAUUUUACUAUGUUUAUUUAAUCAUAAAUAUUUGAACCCAUACUUCCCUAGGCCCUAUGCUGAGUGCAGUAUAUGAAAUUAUCUCUACUUCUCAAAUAAAUGGUCUAUGAAAUGGGUGUUAUUCUCAUCUUACAGAAGAAGAAACAGAAGCCUGGUACAAUUAAAUUCUGUCUUAUUUUUGUUUUUAUUUGGGUGGUUCUCAAACCAAACCCAGGGACACUCUACCCCUGAGCAACAUCCCC